ACCAGGUGCGGUGGCACAUGCCUGUAGUCCCAGCUACUCGGGAGGCAGAGGUGGGAGGAUUGCUUGAACCCAGGAAUUCUGAGCUGUAGUGUGCUAUGCCGAUCGGGUGUCUGCACUAAGUUCGGCAUCAUGAUGACCUCCCGGGAACAGGAGACCACCUGGUUGCCUAAGGAGAAGUGAACCAGCCCAGGUCGGAAUCGGAUCAGGUCAAAACUCUUGUGCUGAUCAGUAAUGGGAUUGCACCUGUGAAUAGCCACUGCACUCCAGCCUGGGCAACAGAGUGAGACUCCGUCUCUU
ensembl:misc_RNA Metazoa_SRP Metazoan signal recognition particle RNA